GACGGGGGAUGCAAGCGUUAUCCGGAAUGAUUGGGCGUAAAGGGUCCGCAGGUGGCCCGGUCAGUCCGCUGUCAAAGCCUGGGGGCUCAACCCUGGAGAGGCGGCGGAGACCACCGGGCUUGAGUCCGGUAGGGGCAGAGGGAAUUCCCGGGUGGAGCGGUGAAAUGGCGUAGAGAUCGGGAAGAACGCCAAGGGCGAAGGCACUCUGCUAGGCCUGAUUUCGCGACUGACACUCAGGGACGAGAGCCAGGGGAGCGAAUGGG
rnacentral:rRNA from 1 species